GUAGGGCGCAAGCGUUGUCCGGAAUUAUUGGGCGUAAAGAGCUCGUAGGCGGUCUGUCACGUCGGGAGUGAAAACCCGGGGCUUAACUCCGGGCCUGCUUUCGAUACGGGCAGACUAGAGUAUGGCAGGGGAGACUGGAAUUCCUGGUGUAGCGGUGAAAUGCGCAGAUAUCAGGAGGAACACCGGUGGCGAAGGCGGGUCUCUGGGCCAUCACUGACGCUGAGGAGCGAAAGCGUGGGGAGCGAACAGGAUUAGAUACCCUGGUAGUCCACGCCGUAAACGUUGGGCGCUAGGUGUGGGGGUCUUUCCACGACCUCUGUGCCGCAGCUAACGCAUUAAGCGCCCCGCCUGGGGAGUACGGCCGCAAGGCUAAA
rnacentral:rRNA from 1 species